GAAGGGUGCAAGCGUUGUUCGGAGUUAUUGGGCGUAAAGGGUUCGUAGGCGGGAAGGUAAGUCAAGCGUGAAAUCCCUGAGCUUAACUCAGGAAGUGCGUAUGAAACUGCCGUUCUUGAAUACUGGAGAGGGUAGCGGAAUUGCUGGUGUAGGAGUGACAUCCGUAGAGAUCAGCAGGAACACCAGAGGCGAAAGCGGCUACCUGGCCAGAGAUUGACGCUGAGGAACGAAAGCGUGGGGAGCAAACAGGAUUAGAUACCCUGGUAGUCCACGCCGUAAACGAUGAUGACUAGAUGUUGGGGGAGUUGACCCCCUCAGUAUCGAAGCACACGCGAUAAGUCAUCCGCCUGGGGAGUACGGCCGCAAGGCUA
rnacentral:rRNA from 1 species